GAUGAACGCUGGCGGCGUGCCUAAUACAUGCAAGUCGAGCGAACAGACGAGGAGCUUGCUCCUCUGACGUUAGCGGCGGACGGGUGAGUAACACGUGGAUAACCUACCUAUAAGACUGGGAUAACUUCGGGAAACCGGAGCUAAUACCGGAUAAUAUAUCGAACCGCAUGGUUCAUUAGUGAAAGACGGUUUUGCUGUCACUUAUAGAUGGAUCCGCGCCGCAUUAGCUAGUUGGUAAGGUAACGGCUUACCAAGGCAACGAUGCGUAGCCGACCUGAGAGGGGGAUCGCCCACACUGGAACUGAGACACGGUCCAGACUCCUGCGGGAGGGAGCAGUAGGGAAUCUUCCGCAAUGGGCGAAAGCCUGACGGAGCAACGCCGCGUGAGUGAUGAAGGUCUUCGGAUCGUAAAACUCUGUUAUUAGGGAAGAACAAAUGUGUAAGUAACUAUGCACGUCUUGACGGUACCUAAUCAGAAAGCCACGGCUAACUACGUG
rnacentral:rRNA from 1 species